rnacentral:rRNA from 1 species
AUUGAACGCUGGCGGCAUGCCUUACACAUGCAAGUCGAACGGCAGCACGGGUGCUUGCACCUGGUGGCGAGUGGCGAACGGGUGAGUAAUACAUCGGAACAUGUCCUGUAGUGGGGGAUAGCCCGGCGAAAGCCGGAUUAAUACCGCAUACGAUCUACGGAUGAAAGCGGGGGACCUUCGGGCCUCGCGCUAUAGGGUUGGCCGAUGGCUGAUUAGCCAGUUGGUGGGGUAAAGGCCUACCAAGGCGACGAUCAGUAGCUGGUCUGAGAGGACGACCAGCCACACUGGGACUGAGACACGGCCCAGACUCCUACGGGAGGCAGCAGUGGGGAAUUUUGGACAAUGGGCGAAAGCCUGAUCCAGCAAUGCCGCGUGUGUGAAGAAGGCCUUCGGGUUGUAAAGCACUUUUGUCCGGAAAGAAAUCCUUGGCUCUAAUACAGUCGGGGGAUGACGGUACCGGAAGAAUAAGCACCGGCUAACUACGUG